GUUAUAGUGGCAGAGCCUGGACAUUGCAAAAGAUCUAAACUCUUUUAACAGGGGUUCAAGUCCCCUCCGUAACU
rnacentral:tRNA from 1 species